AAAAUUCCGUUACAUCUGAGCAACUUAAAUAUAGGGAAAAAAAGUAAGAUGAAUGAUGUAGUUUUUUUUUUUACAUCAAUACUUCACCUGCCCCCUUCUACACACAUAUACAAAUACAAACAUACCAACUGUUAUUUUACUAACAUUCUGAAUAUCUGAAAAUAACCCAAUCUAAUUUUAAUUUCUAUGUCCCCUAAGAUAUACAGGGUGAAAUGAGGCUGAAAAAAGGCAGCAGAAGUAUAAAUCCUUAGACAAAGAUGUGCAAACAAAAGGGAAAGGGAGGGGGAGCAAAGAGAAAACAGACUCAAGUGACUAACCAAGAAACUAAAGAUGAAGGUUGCAGUGAGCCGAGAUGGUGCCACUACACUCCAGCCUGGGAUACAGACCGAGACUCCGUCUCCAAAAACAAAAAACAAACAAACACUUCUUCCUAAAUUUCUUUACUAUACCAUAUUCUCCUCCACAAUCUUGUUGACUUUUCUUCUAGUUCCGGAAUUUAAAGAAAUGUUUUACCAAAUAAACACAUGGAAUUGCUAAAUUACAUUUAAUAAUAAAUAUAACACCAUUUUUAGGUUAACUACUUAUAUUUCUAUGUGCAGUAAGAACAUUAAGAAAACAGAAUAUAGGUGGGGCACGGUGGCUCAUGCCCGUAAUCCCAGCACUUCGGGAGGCCGAGGUAGACAGAUCGCCUGAGGUCAGGAGUUUGAGACCAGCCUGAUCAACAUGGAGAAACCCCAUCUCUACUAAACAUACAAAAUUAGCCGGGCGUGGUGGCACAUGCCUGUAAUCCCAGCUACUCAAGAGGCUGAGCCAGGAGAAUCACUUGAACCCUAGAGGUGGAGAUUGCGGUCAGCCAAGAUCACGCCAUCGCACUCUAGCCUGGGCAACAAGAACGAAACUCUGUCCCAAAAAAAAACAAAAAACAAAAAACAAAAAAAACACAACAGAAUAUAAUACACAAUGGUUUAAACUUCAUCUGCAUUAUUUUUCACUCUUUAAUUGUACCAUCGAGCCCUUAUUCUAUUACCAUUUACUCCGGGCAGAACUAAUUUUCUAAGUAUUAAUAGUUAAUUUCUGAAAACUUACUCUAUAAAGCAUGUCCUAAUGUAUUAUUAUUCUUCUUUUUUUUUGUUUUUUUGAGAUGGAGCUUCACGCUUGUUGCCCAGGCUGGAAUGCAAUGGUGUGAUC
rnacentral:lncRNA from 10 species